rnacentral:tRNA from 1 species
AUUUAAGUAGCUUAAUUUUAAAGCAUAAUAUUGAAGAUAUUAUUAUGGGCUUAUGCCUCUUAAAUA